rfam:Anaerolineaceae bacterium oral taxon 439 strain W11661, complete genome.
GGGGGAGUGCUGGAACAGGCAGACAGGCAUGACUUAGGAUCAUGUGCCGUAAGGCGUGAGGGUUCGACCCCCUCCUUCCCUA